UUCAGCUUAAAUAUGAAAGGAGGCUGACAAUCACAGGACAGGUCUGUUCUGAGGAUACAAGUCAUCGGUCCUGACGUGUGUUUCUCUUCCACAACACACAUUCUACAUCUUGGAGGCCAUGUCUUUCCACACAUGAGCUUCCUUCUUCUUCUUUCAAAUGGGGCAGAGCUCAGUGGGAAACAUUAGGAGAGACACAGGCGAGGCCAUCUGUAGACCUAGUAAUGUUUUAUGUUAUUAAGGUUUCAUAUUCAUCAGGUUCACUACUUCUUUUACUAAGAGAGCUGUUGUGUUUCCAGAUAAAUCCAGUGAGAGAGAGAGAUCCACCAGUGGAAAGGACAGCACACCUCCAGCUCAAGAUAAAUCCAGUGAGAGAGAGAGAUCCACCAGUGGAAAGCACAGCACACCUCCAGCUCAAGGUUCUUCACAAAGGAGAAGAAAGUGGUCGGAGGAGGAGGUCCAGGCAGUGGAGAAGACGCUGAAUAGCUUCAUAAGGUCCAGGAGGGUUCCAGGAAAAGCAGACUGCGUGAGAUGUAUUGAGGAGUCUCCACAGGCCCUACAGGACAGGAGCUGGACAGCAGUAAAGUUCUAUGUCAAAAACCGAAUUGAUGCUGCCAAAAGAGGGAGAUAAGCUGCUGCUGCUCUGAAUUUAUUUUCAGUUAAGAAAAAGAGUUGAGUUGAAUUAGAACAGGUAUUCUAUCUUGCCAAGUUAAAAUGCACAAUAUUUGCAUUUCGUUCUGUGAUUAAUUUUUUGAUGUGCAUCUUUAACAGUGUUGGUUGAAUAAGCUGCCAAAAGAGGGAGAUGAGCUGCUGCUCUGAGUUUAUUUUGAGUUAAGAAAAGAGUUGAGUCGAGUUAGAAUAGGUUUUCUAUCUUGCUCUGGCAAGAUAGGCUCCAAGCUCUGGGCUCUGAAGGGUGGGAGCUGGACAGCAGGUAAAUGCACACCAUUUGCAUUUCGUUCUGUGAUUAAUUUUUUGAUGUGCAUCUUUAACCAUGUUGGUUGAAUAAGCUGCCAAAAGGGGGAGAUGAGCUGCUGCUGCUGCUCAUAGUUUAUUUUAGAGUCAGAGUCAGAGUUGAAUUAGAACAGGUGUAGGUAAAUGCACACCAUUUACAUUUUGUCAUUUAUAUUUUUGAUGUGCAUCUUUAACCGUUUUGGUUGAAUAAACCACUUCUCUUAUUGCA